rnacentral:lncRNA from 1 species
GCUCCUUGCUGACUUUUCAUGUAGGCUGUCUCCCCCAUCCCUCACUUCCAUAGGCGUGCGCACGGGGUGUGUCGGGUGUGCCUUGGCACACCCUAAUCCCCGCGGCACGCCAAUGGAUUGAGACUGUCAGGGGAGAUCUCUGGAUCUCCCCGGUCGGCUCAUGCAGAGCCGACGCUAUCCGAGCGGCGGCUCUGGUCUAAGCCUCCAUGGG